CAGGGAGACAACAAAAUGUUUAAUAUUAUUAUUUUGUCACCUUAGGUCGAUAGGUAUCUCACGUUCUUAAUUUGUUAAGAAUUUCAUUUCCUAAGUUUUUCUAGGUCACACCCAUUAUUUUUCCUGGGCCAUUAGCUCAGGUGGUUAGAGCGCACCCCUGAUAAGGGUGAGGUCCCUGGUUCAAGUCCAGGAUGGCCCAUAUCUCUAUGUUGGGGGUAUAGCUCAGUUGGUAGAGCGCCUGCUUUGCAAGCAGGAUGUCAGCGGUUCGAGUCCGCUUACCUCCACUGAUUACCACCUCUUCCAUAAUCGGUAGAAAGGAAAUGUUUUGAGUUGUGAUCAUUAUUCUGAACGAAUCUAGCUUCCUAAUGAAAUCAUUAAGAUGCUGGACUCAUUGAAUUAAUUUCAUUGUUUUCAGAGAACCUUGACAACUGCAUAGAUUAUUUUUAAAGACAAUAAGCAUCUUUAAUGAUGCAGAUUUAUUAUUUGUGCGAAUGCAUUAAUAACAAUUCUAUUAAGCUGAUGCUUCAAUUUUUGAAGUUAUU
rnacentral:tRNA from 1 species